rnacentral:rRNA from 1 species
CGGGAGGCAGCAGUGGGGAAUAUUGCACAAUGGGCGCAAGCCUGAUGCAGCCAUGCCGCGUGUAUGAAGAAGGCCUUCGGGUUGUAAAGUACUUUCAGCGGGGAGGAAGGUGUUGUGGUUAAUAACCACAGCAAUUGACGUUACCCGCAGAAGAAGCACCGGCUAACUCCGUGC